rnacentral:rRNA from 1 species
GACGAACGCUGGCGGCGUGCUUAACACAUGCAAGUCGAACGGAAAGGCCCUGCUUUUGUGGGGUGCUCGAGUGGCGAACGGGUGAGUAACACGUGAGUAACCUGCCCUUGACUUUGGGAUAACUUCAGGAAACUGGGGCUAAUACCGGAUAGGAGCUCCUGCUGCAUGGUGGGGGUUGGAAAGUUUCGGCGGUUGGGGAUGGACGCGCGGCUUAUCAGCUUGUUGGUGGGGUAGUGGCUUACCAAGGCUUUGACGGGUAGCCGGCCUGAGAGGGUGACCGGCCACAAUGGGACUGAGAUACGGCCCAGACUCCUACGGAAGGCAGCAGUGGGGAAUAUUGCACAAUGGGCGGAAGCCUGAUGCAGCAACGCCGCGUGCGGGAUGACGGCCUUCGGGUUGUAAACCGCUUUCGCCUGUGACGAAGCGUGAGUGACGGUAAUGGGUAAAGAAGCACCGGCUAACUACGUG